AAUACCGAUAGGUCUCGAUUGUGGAAUGCAUCGAGAUUUAAAGCUCCGGCGCCUAAGGAUGGGUCUGCGGCCUAUCAGGUAGUAGUGGGUGUAGCGUACCUACUAGCCUACGACGGGUACGGGUUGUGAGAGCAAGAGCCCGGAGAUGGAUUCUGAGACACGAAUCCAGGCCCUACGGGGUGCAGCAGGCGCGAAAACUUUACAAUGCUGGCAACAGCGAUAAGGGAACCUCGAGUGCCAGGUUACAAAUCUGGCUGUCGAGAUGCCUAAAAAGCAUUUCAUAGCAAGGGCCGGGCAAGACCGGUGCCAGCCGCCGCGGUAACACCGGCGGCUCGAGUGGUAACCGUUAUUAUUGGGUCUAAAGGGUCUGUAGCCGGCCGGAUAAGUCUCUUGAGAAAUCUGGCAGCUUAACUGUCAGGCUUUCAGGAGAUACUGUCUGGCUCGAGGCCGGGAGAGGUGAGAGGUACUUCAGGGGUAGGGGUGAAAUCUUGUAAUCCUUGAAGGACCACCAGUGGCGAAGGCGUCUCACCAGAACGGACCUGACGGCAAGGGACGAAAGCUAGGGGCACGAACCGGAUUAGAUACCCGGGUAGUCCUAGCCGU
rnacentral:rRNA from 1 species